CUUCCCCAAAAUCGCAGCGAGCAGGCUGACUUCUCACCAAACUCCGGCGACCAACGUCGGUGCUAGCCAUCGAGCUUCACCACCAAUAGAAAGAUAACAUCGUAAGGUUUCUAAUGAUGGGACCUGAUCGUCGAGAUUCUACAUUUAAGGAAUCCGUUUUCUUUGCCCGAUUCCAGCCACCACCGCUCGUCAUCGCCGGUGAAAUCCAUCACCACAAGAAAGCUGCGUCUUGAGAUUUCCAACGGCACCUCUCAUAUUACUCGAGUUUUGCUGUAAAAUUUCUGCAAUUCCAGCCCAAGAGCCGAUAGAGGAAGAGAGGAAUAUAGAGAGAGAGAGAGAGAGAGAGAGAGAGGAAGAUAGAGAGAGAGAG
rnacentral:lncRNA from 1 species